AUACGUAGGGGGCAAGCGUUAUCCGGAUUUACUGGGUGUAAAGGGAGCGUAGACGGCAUGGCAAGUCUGAUGUGAAAACCCGGGGCUCAACCCCGGGAUUGCAUUGGAAACUGUCAAGCUAGAGUGCAGGAGAGGUAAGUGGAAUUCCUAGUGUAGCGGUGAAAUGCGUAGAUAUUAGGAGGAACACCAGUGGCGAAGGCGGCUUACUGGACUGUAACUGACGUUGAGGCUCGAAAGCGUGGGGAGCAAACAGGAUUAGAUACCCGGGUAGUCCACGCCGUAAACGAUGAAUACUAGGUGUUGGGAGGAACUAUCCUUUCGGUGCCGCAGCAAACGCAAUAAGUAUUCCACCUGGGGAGUACGUUCGCAAGAAUGAAACUCAAAUGAAUUGACGGGG
rnacentral:rRNA from 1 species